rnacentral:lncRNA from 1 species
UAAUCUUGUGAUUCUUCUGCUUUAGAUCCCCAGAGUGCUAGGAUUAGAGAUGUGUGCCACUACAUCCUUUGAGAAUUUAAUAUUUGAACACUGGAAUGCAUCUACAGUCUUCUGUUCCUUUGUGAAAGAUGGAAUUUGGUCAUGACUGAGGACCCCAGGAUCAGUGCACUGACUAUAUUCACCAAGUAGAAGGUAAAAGAUGAACACCCAGAGGUGAAACUUGUGAUCUCAGCCUUGCUAUUCCUUGAUCAUAAUUUGCUGAAACAUUCUACUAGGAGAAUGAAUGAAAGAGAACAACAUAAAAUACUACAGGCAUAUUUAAAAAAAUAAAAUCUUGUGGUGCCAAAAAAUUAUAUAUAAAAAGUUUAGAUUUUUAAAGGCAGUUCCCACAUUACUUGAUUAGGUCUUAAUCUCAAA